rnacentral:lncRNA from 1 species
UUAAUUAAAAAAAAACAAACGUCGUUAAAACGGUACAGGGGAAAAGCUUGACUGUAUGCAGACUACGCGUUUUGCGCACCUGUGUCGAUACCGGCGAGUGAAGUCGUUUCCUUCUCACAACA